UAUCAGCUGACAGUGAGGAGGGAGGGGGUUUGGAAAGAAGGGCAAUUGGUGUUACUUUCUGAAUCAGAAGAACUGCAGGAUGUGGGCUCCUGGCCAGAAAGAGCCUUGGCCAUGUACUGGGACUAAUAUCCAUACUCAGGAGAAAGAACCAGAGAGCCCCUAGGUACUCUCAGUUUGUCUCCAGGCUCAAAUAUUUUGUACCCUAUCAUU
rnacentral:lncRNA from 1 species